rnacentral:misc_RNA from 1 species
CAACUUCCACCUGGCAUACCUCUUCAUUUAUGCGUCAUGACUUGUAUCGUCUUGAGCGUAUUGUGGGUUUCCUGUGUUGCUUACCUAACUAAUGGUAUUGUUUUGCUUGAUCAAAGUCCCUUUUCGUCUUGUGUUGCAUUUGCGACGUAUGAUGAACCUCGAAGCGGUCUCUAUGUUCCACCAUGUUGAUGCUAGUGUUUCCAUGUUGUGGCCCAUUGAGUGUUGCUUGGUUUCGAAGAUACAGAACAUUAUUUGGGCAUAGGGUCACUCGUGACUCUUGUUCUGUCCUUUAAUAGUGUUCUUUAUAACGACGGUUCAUGUGCGCCUAGGCUCGUACCUGCGUGAUGUUCUUGUCGAAGAGGAAUGCUACCUGGUUGAUCCUGCCAGUAGUCAUAUGCUUGUCUCAAAGAUUAAGCCAUGCAUGUGUAAGU